AAGGCAACCCAAAAAUCAUUGACAGUUACACAAUAACCUUAUUUAAAAUUGCCAGUUUUCCCCAUUUAUUAAGAAAAAUACAAGUCAAAUACAUAUCAAAAGAGGCGACCUAGAAUAAUGAAGACGAGUACAGUCACUGUUAUAAGUUAAUGGUUACCUAUAAGCAAUGAUAAGCUAUUACUAACGAAAAAAUGAUUCUGAGCGCAGUUCAGUUGAUAAUGAUGCUUUGUCAACAAUAUAUAUGUUAAAUUAUGGUCAA